ensembl:lncRNA
UCCUGGUUUGCUUUGAUUGGGGACAGAAAGGGCCCUCGCUCUCCCCUGCAGCUCGCCUCCCUUGUGAACUGUGUCUUUUUCAAACGCUGAGUGUUUACGUCUGGCCAAGUCCCCACUCACCAGCCCAUUGACUGUCCCCAUGGCAACAAGCUCAUCCGUAGCUGCUGAUGGAGGCUGUCUCCCUACAAGCCCUACCUUGCCACAGAAAGUGGGGGGUGGGGGGCUGAGAGUUAAACUGUGCCGCUGUGUAAGGCAGAGCAGGAAAGAGCGAAUUAGCUACUGGGAUUGAAAAUUGCCCAUUACGCCCCGCCGCACCACAAAGCGCUCCUCCGUGCUGUGAGGACUUACGCCAUGUGACCUUGACACCGUCGGGCUUGAACUCCGGGUCCUCAAGAGCACGGCCUCCCUGAAAAGUCUUUUCAUUUAUUUAUUUAUUUAUUUCUCUGCUGACCUGUGCCUUCUAUGGAUCUCCUCACGGUCACAGUGGUUGUUGUUCUUCUGACCUUGAAGCCGGGCGUGCUCAGUGGGAACGGUGGCUGCCAACAAAAGGGAAGCGGCUCAGCGUGGGAAUGAUGUCAGCCGGCGGCGCUCGAAUUUGUUUGAGACGCUAGCGCGGGAGAUCAGCUGGGUUUCGUUUCGCGCCCGCGACACAACCGUUUCCGCGGGCGUUUUUCACAAUACGCGGUGGAGUGAUCGACCGUCUCAGGCGGCUGUGUCGCCCGUGCGAGAGGUUGUAAACUCCCCAACAGAGGUUGGUUCAAAUCGUCACCAUCAGCGAGCUAAACAUAUUGACAUUGUCGGACAGAAAGAACCACAGACCACCUUGAGCUCUGAACUUCCUCCCCCCUCCACUAUUACACCAGCAUCUGCUCCCUGUGGGGUCUGUUGUCUGGGCGAUAGCAUGACCCCUGACACCGCUGCCUGCUGUUAAGGUUUUAUCGGGAGAGGAGGGGGGGGGCGCUAUCCUAGUCACUCCCUCAGUCCUCUUCAUGCCACUGAGGUCUUCUGUGUUUAAUUCAUAAUGAGCAAGUGUGUGUGUGUGUGUGUGUGUGUGUGUGUGUUGAAGUAGAAGAGGCAGAAAGAAAGCACCCUGCACUGGAGCAGAUCCCAGUGUGGGGACAGUUGAUCGUCCACUAAUCCAAGCUACUCCAGGAGGAAUGAAACGUUCAAUGGGGGGGAAAAAGCAUUACAAUUAUUAUUUUUAUUUUUUUUAAUGCAUGCUGAUAAUUGUCUCAAAUACACUCCUGUCUGGAUGAGCUAUCGACGGUUCUUUAUGCGCUGUGGGCAGUUAUUCCUCACUGGUCACAUGAAUGCAGCUUGAUGAACUGCAUUUAUAAAGGCUUUUUAUAACUCAAGAGGCUCUUGUCACAGUUCAGCGGCCAUCAAAGGUAAUCGAAUGGUUAUUAACUGUUAGAGGAUGGCGUGCCAGGAGAAGGGAGCGGGGGAGGGGUAAAGGGAGGAGGAAGGGGCAUUCGGGGGAAAGCUCAGAAGUCUCAGCUUGUUCAAUCUGCAUCACAAUUGAACUAUUAUUUAGGAUUCUCAUCUCAGAGUUAUCGUUUUUUUUUCUUCUCCCUCCUUAACACUGAAAUUGACCAUUACCUCGUCCCACACCUGUCACCUUUUGUCCUUCAGUGUCAGUUUUACACAUUACUGCUGAUUGGCCAAAAUGCGCUGCUCUGAGUUUAAUACAUUUUAAUCACAUUUAAUCCUAAUCCUCUCAGUGGACAACAUGGAGCGUAUGCAAGCAUAUGGUGAAACAAAGCUAAUUCCGCAGACGUUAAAACCGCAACUACAACUACGACAUACUGAAAAAGACGGGAGGAAUCGUGAGGAGACAUGGCGGGAUACAGGGCGCUGAACGUGUUGUGUAAAUGAUUAGUCUCAAUGUGCAGCUUAGAGGCCCUUCAUUGUCCCGUGUUCUUUUGCCGUCGACAUCGCUUCCCCACCACACUUUCUUUCUAAGACAUUUCCAGUUGGUUUAAGACUGAGCCUCCUCCAUUCCUCUCCAGAGCUGCCGACGAGGAGGACAGUCCUUGAGGAGAAGAAACAUGAUGACUCUCAGCAGUUUGUGCUCCAGAGAACAAACUGUGCUCCAGUUAACAAAUGUGUUACAUGUUGCGAGUUUAGAAUGUUCUAUUGCAAUUAGAAGGUCGCGCCUCAGACGCCGUGUAGGUACGCGUAGAAGCUUCCAGUGUCCUUGCCUGCGGACGGGGCCGUUUACACAGUGUCGUCCCGUCUCCCGCGGGUCAGAACUGAUGCUGCCGUCCCUCUCGCUGCCUCUGUCGGUGGAGACCAGUCUCAAGCAGAGAGGUCCAACUCCGUCGUGGUGGCCGGAGCCGUGAUGGGCGCCGUCCUCGCUCUCUUCCUCAUCGCGGUCUUCCUCGUCGUAAUACUCACCGCUCGCAGGACGCCGCCGCCACCGGCCUUCACUGACAAAGUGAUUGACCUUCCUCCGACACACAAGCCGCCUCCUCCCUACUCUGAGAGAGCGCCGGCCAUUCCCCUGGGUGUCCACGCAUCACAAGUGGCCUGGCUCUGUCAGUCUCGUAGGGCCGACAGGCAGCAGCCGACCGCGGCGAGGCCGGGACCUCCGACAGCACGAAGCCCCGCCCAGCGGCCGUCCCGCCUGCAGUGGGUGUGUCAUGAGAGUGGAACGGACCGUGUGUACAUCAACCACCGCGAGCACUACGUUUGAAGGACGCGCGGCCCACAUUGCCCGCGGCGGCGCCGCCCUCUGCCCCGAUUCUUCACCGGUGUCACUGAGCCGUGAAUCCAGAGGAGGAAACAGCCGGCGGCCUGAGAGGACAACACCCCGCGCACAUGUAGUAGUUUAACAUACGGUUGACAUUUGGAUCCGAGCUUCCUCUUCGCUUUGUGUAAGCAAACUGCACUUCGCCACGAAUGAGUAUUCAGAAAGCCACGGGGGGUCGUAGGUAUCCACUAGAUCCCGACACUGUCCCUUUUUCAUUCCGAGGGGGCACCAGUGUGUCAGGAGACCGUACUCUUAGGCACACCGCUGGACCAAACCACUACCGAUCCGCAGUGUUCGGUCCACUGAGAACAAACGUACUAACUGCACCACAGAGCACAGAGGGAGGAAAUAAGGUAGUUCUGUCCCAGUUCUGUUAUUAGCUGUUGUGUUGUUACACAAUCCUUAUUGGCAGCAAUAGUAGGUUUGUGAACGUGUAAAUAUAGCCCCUGUGUUUGUGUAAUUCUGUAGAGUCGUAACCUCCUGCUAAUCAGGGAAUCACGGUAUGUGAGUUGUUGCCGUUUAUCCUGUGAAUAUGUACUUUGUACUCAUGUAAGAUCUGUUAGACUUAAGAACUAACUGAAGUGCCAUUUUGACAUUUGACAUCUUGGGGGAGUUUCCUCUUUAUAGUCGGCUGUACCUUUUACAUAUCGUUAGUUUUCUCAUCUUUGAAUUGUGUAUUAAAAUACAUUUGAAUUUAAAUGCAUACUGUUUGUAGCAGUGACAUGACGCUGUGACAACAUGAGAUUAAUAAUCAUCUGUUCUAAAUCUGAAAGUGAAGACACCGUGAGAUGGAGGCGAUGAGUCACUACAUGCAGAGACAAAGGAGAAGUCCUUGAAGAAUUGAGAGAGAGAGAGAGAGAGUUUGAAUUGACGCGUGGAGGCUUUCUGAGGUAAAUUCAUCUGAAGGUCACAUUGAACCCACUGGGAUUUUCACAAAAGUGAUAAGCUGUUUUUAUUAACCGGAACCAUUUGGUGACGAUGAUGCAGCGUUUAUAUGUGAGGGCGGCAACGUAUCGAUGUUUGAACAUGAAUAACAUGCAUUCAUUCAUUCAUUUAUUUCCAUUAGUCAGUGAGAAGGUGUUUCUCCAUCAUCUCUGCAGGGGCGUCGCUGUCGCCUCAAGAGCAGCACCUAGUGGACAAACAUGUCAGUGUAACGUCUGUUUGACCCUCGACUUCUCUCUGGCCACGACACCGUCGUCGUAAAAGAAGAUUUUAGAGGUGGAGAUACCAAGUCA